UAUGGAUCAUGCUUUGGUGUCAUUUAAUAAUACAUUGUUUAAUGUACUAUAUAUUUCAGAGAAGCUAGAAGAAAGGAUAUUGAAUGCUUUCACCACAGAGAAAUGAUGUUUGAGGCAAUAAAAUGCUUACUUGAUUUGAACAUCAUAAAAUGUGCACAUGUAUUAAGAAGCAUCACAUAAUACCAUAAAUAUGUAUAAUUUUAUGUGUCAACUUAUAAAGUACAUUGCCAAAUUCAUAAUCAUAAAAAUUUAUCCCUACAAUUUCUUUUCUUUUUCUUUUGGUACUGAUUGCUUAGGGCCUGACUAAAUUACUGAGCCUGAUUUGCUGAGAUUAUAGGCAUAAGCCACCAUGCUCAGCUCUAAUCUAAUUAAAAUGUAUCUCUAUCUUAUGGUUUUAGUUCUUACAUUAGGUCCCUUAUGGAUUUUGAGUGUGCUUUUGGUUUUGUUUUUGAUAAGGAGUCUUAUCAUGUUGCUUAGGCUUGCCUCAAACUCCUGUAUUCAAGCAAUCCUCCUGUCUUAGACUUCCAAAUGAACUACAGGCAUGUACCAUUAUACCCAGCUGAGUUAAUUUUUUUAAUAUGGUGUGAGUUAGGGCGUCCAGUUUCAUUCUUUUGCAUGUCGAUAUCUACUUAUUCCAGCAUCAUUUGUGGAAGAGACUCUCCCUCACUGAAUGAUUUUGGCACUCUUGUUGAAAAUCAAUUGCCAUAGUGGUAGGGGGUUAUUUCUGGAUUAUCAGCUCUGUUUCAUUGCUCUAUGUCUAUCCUAUGCCAGUUCCAUACUGGUUUCUCUCUUUCUUAUUGUUUUUACUUUAGGUCUCUUUCUGUUGCCCAGGCUAGCUUGUAGAAUUUGCAAUACUCCUUCCUCAGCCUCCUGAGUAGCAGUGAAUACAGGCACAUGCCAUCAUGCGCAGCUUCUGUUGUACUGAUUAGUUUUGUAGUAAGUUUUAAAAUAAGGUAGUGUGAGUUCUUCAACUUUGUCCUUUUACAAGGUGGGUAUAGCUCUUCAGGAUCCCCUGCAGGUCUAUAAGAGUCUUAGGAUCAGCCUGUCCAUUUAUGCAAACAUGGAGUUGGAAUUUUGAUGAGGAUUACAUUAAAUCGGUAGAUCAUUUGGGGGAGUAUUGCCAUCUUUAAAUAUUAAGUCUUCCAAACCAAGAACACAGGAUAUCUCUCCAGCAUUGGUUACUUAUUGAGACCCUCCCUAAAAAAAUAAAAUGGGCUGGGAUGUAGCUGCAUGGUAAAGUGCGGUUCCAUCCCCAGUAUUGAAAAAAUUAAGCAAUAUAAACAACUGAUUUUUAACAUGUUGAUUUUAUACCCCAAAAGUUUGUUGAAUUUUUUAAUCAGCUCUAAUAGCUUUAUUAGGGCUUGAGAUUUUCUACAUAUAAAAUCAUGUCAUCUACAAAUAGAAAUUAGUUUUACAUUUUGCUUCUCAAUUU
rnacentral:lncRNA from 1 species